GACAGAGGAUGCAAGCGUUAUCCCGGAAUGAUUGGGCGUAAAAGCGUCUGUAGGUGGCUUUUUAAGUCUGCCGUCAAAUCCCAGGGCUUUAACCCUGGACGGCGGUGGGAAACUACCAAAGCUGGAGUACGGUUAGGGGCAGAGGGGAAUUUCCGGUGGAGCGGUGAAAUGCGUAGAGAUCGGAAAAGAACACCAACGGGCGAAAAGCACUCUGCUGGGGC
rnacentral:rRNA from 1 species